ACGACUGCUGCUAAGACUGGAUAGGAAGAUAAAAGGCAUCUUGUAUCUUUUAAAAGACCUAGUUAAUAGGUAUGCUUUAGGAGGGGCUUGCACCAUAUUAGUUAGUUGGUAGGGUAAUGGCCUACCAAGACGAUGAUGUGUAGCUGGACUGAGAGGUUGAACAGCCACAUUGGGACUGAGACACGGCCCAAACUCCUACGGGAGGCAGCAGUAGGGAAUUUUCGGCAAUGGAGGAGACUCUGACCGAGCAACGCCGCGUGAAUGACGAAGUACUUCGGUAUGUAAAGUUCUUUUAUCGAGGAAGAAAAGCAAAUGGCGAACCAUUUGUUUGCCGGUACUUGAUGAAUAAGCCCCGGCUAAUUAUGUGCCAGCAGCCGCGGUAAGACAUAAGGGGCAAGUGUUAUCCGGAAUUAUUGGGCGUAAAGGGUGCGUAGGCGGUCUAGUAAGUCAGUGGUGUAAUGUCAACGCUUAACGUUGUCCGGCUAUUGAAACUGCUAAACUUGAGUUAGAUAGAGGCGAGUGGAAUUCCAUGUGUAGCGGUAAAAUGCGUAAAUAUAUGGAGGAACACCAGAGGCGUAGGCGGCUCGCUGGGUCUUAACUGACGCUGAGGCACGAAAGCGUGGGGAGCAAACAGGAUUAGAUACCCUGGUAGUCCACGCCGUAAACGAUGAGUACUAAGUGUCGGGUUAAACCGGUACUGAAGUUAACACAUUAAGUACUCCGCCUGAGUAGUACGUACGCAAGUAUGAAACUUAAAGGAAUUGACGGGACUCCGCACAAGCGGUGGAUCAUGUUGUUUAAUUCGAAGAUACCCGAAAAACCUUACCAGGUCUUGACAUGUUUUUGCAAAAUGAUAGUAAUAUCGUGGAGGUUACCAGAAACACAGGUGGUGCAUGGUUGUCGUCAGCUCGUGUCGUGAGAUGUUAGGUUAAGUCCUAAAACGAGCGAAACCCUUAUCGUUAGUUGCCAGCACGUUAUGGUGGGGACUUUAACGAGACUGCCAAUGAUAAAUUGGAGGAAGGUGAGGAUCACGUCAAAUCAGCAUGCCCCUUAUGACCUGGGCUACAAACGUGAUACAAUGGCUGUUACAAAGGGUAGCUGAAACGCAAGUUCUUGGCCAAUCCCCAAAAACAGUCCCAGUCCGGAUUGAAGUCUGCAACUCGACUUCAUGAAGUUGGAAUCGCUAGUAAUCGCGAAUCAGCAUGUCGCGGUGAAUACGUUCACGGGGUUUGUACACACCGCCCGUCA
rnacentral:rRNA from 1 species